UCAGAACGAACGCUGGCGGCGUGGAUAAGACAUGCAAGUCGAACGGAUUAUUUGGUGUAGCAAUACAUUGAGUAGUUAGUGGCGCAAGGGUGAGUAACACGUGGGCAACCUGCCCGGAAAUGGGGGAUAGCCCGCCGAAAGGCGGAUUAAUACCGCAUGUGACGAGGAGCGGCAUCGCUUCGUAGUUAAAGUUGGUGAAAGCUAACGUUUCCGGAUGGGCCCGCGGCCUAUCAGCUAGUUGGUGGGGUAACGGCCUACCAAGGCAAUGACGGGUAGCUGGUCUGAGAGGACGACCAGCCACACUGGAACUGAGACACGGUCCAGACACCUACGGGUGGCAGCAGUCGAGAAUUUUUCUCAAUGGGGGAAACCCUGAAGGAGCGACGCCGCGUGGAGGAUGAAGGUCUUCGGAUUGUAAACUCCUGUCAUGAGGGAGUAAGGCAUUGCGUUAACUGCGUGGAUGCUUGAUAGUACCUCAAGAGGAAGGGACGGCUAACUCUGUGCCAGCAGCCGCGGUAAUACAGAGGUCCCGAGCGUUGUUCGGAUUCAUUGGGCGUAAAGGGUGCGUAGGCGGCCAUGUAAGUCAGAUGUGAAAUUCCGGGGCUCAACCUCGGAACUGCAUUUGAUACUGCGUGGCUAGAGUACUGGAGGGGAGACUGGAAUUCACGGUGUAGCAGUGAAAUGCGUAGAUAUCGUGAGGAAGGCCAGCGGCGAAGGCGAGUCUCUGGACAGUAACUGACGCUGAGGCACGAAGGCUAGGGGAGCAAACGGGAUUAGAUACCCCGGUAGUCCUAGCAGUAAACGGUGCACGUUUGGUGUGGGAGGAAUCGACCCCUUCCGUGCCGUANCUAACGCGUUAAACGUGCCGCCUGGGGAGUANGGUCGCAAGAUUAAAACUCAAAGAAAUUGACGGGGGCCCGCACAAGCGGUGGANUAUGUGGCU
rnacentral:rRNA from 1 species